GCUUAACACAUGCAAGUCGAACGGAAAGGCCCUGCUUUUGUGGGGUGCUCGAGUGGCGAACGGGUGAGUAACACGUGAGUAACCUGCCCUUGACUUUGGGAUAACUUCAGGAAACUGGGGCUAAUACCGGAUAGGAGCUCCUGCUGCAUGGUGGGGGUUGGAAAGUUUCGGCGGUUGGGGAUGGACUCGCGGCUUAUCAGCUUGUUGGUGGGGUAGUGGCUUACCAAGGCUUUGACGGGUAGCCGGCCUGAGAGGGUGACCGGCCACAUUGGGACUGAGAUACGGCCCAGACUCCUACGGGAGGCAGCAGUGGGGAAUAUUGCACAAUGGGCGGAAGCCUGAUGCAGCAACGCCGCGUGCGGGAUGACGGCCUUCGGGUUGUAAACCGCUUUCGCCUGUGACGAAGCGUGAGUGACGGUAAUGGGUAAAGAAGCACCGGCUAACUACGUGCCAGCAGCCGCGGUGAUACGUAGGGUGCGAGCGUUGUCCGGAUUUAUUGGGCGUAAAGGGCUCGUAGGUGGUUGAUCGCGUCGGAAGUGUAAUCUUGGGGCUUAACCCUGAGCGUGCUUUCGAUACGGGUUGACUUGAGGAAGGUAGGGGAGGAUGGAAUUCCUGGUGGAGCGGUGGAAUGCGCAGAUAUCAGGAGGAACACCAGUGGCGAAGGCGGUUCUCUGGGCCUUUCCUGACGCUGAGGAGCGAAAGCGUGGGGAGCGAACAGGCUUAGAUACCCUGGUAGUCCACGCUGUAAACGGUGGGUACUAGGUGUGGGGUCCAUUCCACGGGUUCCGUGCCGUAGCUAACGCUUUAAGUACCCCGCCUGGGGAGUACGGCCGCAAGGCUAAAACUCAAAGGAAUUGACGGGGCCCCGCACAAGCGGCGGAGCAUGCGGAUUAAUUCGAUGCAACGCGUAGAACCUUACCUGGGUUUGACAUGGAUCGGGAGUGCUCAGAGAUGGGUGUGCCUCUUUUGGGGUCGGUUCACAGGUGGUGCAUGGCUGUCGUCAGCUCGUGUCGUGAGAUGUUGGGUUAAGUCCCGCAACGAGCGCAACCCUUGUUCACUGUUGCCAGCACGUUAUGGUGGGGACUCAGUGGAGACCGCCGGGGUCAACUCGGAGGAAGGUGGGGAUGACGUCAAGUCAUCAUGCCCCUUAUGUCCAGGGCUUCACGCAUGCUACAAUGGCUGGUACAGAGAGUGGCGAGCCUGUGAGGGUGAGCGAAUCUCGGAAAGCCGGUCUCAGUUCGGAUUGGGGUCUGCAACUCGACCUCAUGAAGUCGGAGUCGCUAGUAAUCGCAGAACAGCAACGCUGCGGUGAAUACGUUCCCGGGG
rnacentral:rRNA from 1 species